rnacentral:lncRNA from 1 species
CUACUUUCAGCUAGUGUAGAAGAUUUUGACUCCUUUUCCAACAGGUCUUCUUUGGUGGACACCUGAAGAAUGACUAGAAACAGAACGAUAUAAAUCUUUGGAUUAUCUUUAUUUCUAUGGCAAUUUUAUUCUGAAGCUAUUUUGCUACUGCAACAAAGCCAGUGAAAAAAAACCAAGCCAAAACUCUAUAAUGCCAGUGGUGAUGGUGAGACUGAGCUGUGACAUGGUAAAUACUAUAUCUUAUUUUAUAAAAAAAAUUUAAAUUGAUACUUAAUAGUCUGAAGGUUGUGCCA